CUGGGAGGAUAACGAUGGUUGUUUACUCGCUUUGGAAGUGAGAGGUUGUAGGUUCGAAUCCUGCUUCUCAGA
rnacentral:tRNA from 1 species